GAUGAACGCUAGCUACAGGCUUAACACAUGCAAGUCGAGGGGAAACGAUAUUGGAAGCUUGCUUCCGAUAGGCGUCGACCGGCGCACGGGUGAGUAACGCGUAUCCAACCUGCCCACCACUUGGGGAUAACCUUGCGAAAGUAAGACUAAUACCCAAUGAUAUCUCUAGAAGACAUCUGAAAGAGAUUAAAGAUUUAUCGGUGAUGGAUGGGGAUGCGUCUGAUUAGCUUGUUGGCGGGGUAAACGGCCCACCAAGGCGACGAUCAGUAGGGGUUCUGAGAGGAAGGUCCCCCACAUUGGAACUGAGACACGGUCCAAACUCCUACGGGAGGCAGCAGUGAGGAAUAUUGGUCAAUGGACGAGAGUCUGAACCAGCCAAGUAGCGUGCAGGAUGACGGCCCUAUGGGUUGUAAAACUGCUUUUAUAAGGGAAUAAAGUGAGAGUCGUGACUCUUUUUGCANGUACCUUAUGAAUAAGGACCGGCUAAUUCCGUG
rnacentral:rRNA from 1 species